CUUUAUCUCCUAUACCACCAUACUUCGCCACAGCAACGCGUGGCUGGGUACAGCUAGUGAGAAGUAAAUGUAUUGGGAGUGUCAUGGAUAGCAUGGAUGAGGGUUUGCUGAGUGAGGGCUUGGUUGCUGAACUAGAGCCCCACCAGGAACAGCAACUCCAUCAGCCACACCCAGAAAUAACAACUACUCAGGCUGCUGGCCAAACCCAAGAGGCUUUUGUUGAGCAGGCUGAGAAAGAGUUAAAUGUGCUUUCUCUUGUGGAACUAAGGAAAGAAAAGUUCGGCUUAGGAGAAGGCUGGCAAUUGGGAUCAGCUGUGAAAGCAGCAUUUAAGGAUUUGCACAAGUGUUACCUGAUUGCUGGCUGCAACUUCUGUAUCCAUGUCUGGACCUUAGAACCCUGUCCCUUGUGUACUUUUUGGAAACUGGACUGCUCUUGACUUGUGAACACCACCUAGUUGUUUGGCAUUCUGGUAUUUGGUUUUGUCUCUGGACAGGACACUUGGAUUUCCUUUCUGAUGGUUCCCUUGGGUUCCGUUUCUGCCAUGAACCAAUUGGCUUGACCUUGGACUGUAAUACUCUCCUGUUGGUGUUUCCAGGUUGAGGCUCAUGACAGGGAGGAAGGCAAGUCCUAGCAGUUGCAGUAAGACACAUUGGAGCUGGAAGGCUUUCCUAAGGAGGAGGCAACUAACUAUAUGGAGUGACUGUUCUUCAGAUUGUUGCUGGGUACUUUACUUUAUCAAGACAGAAGUGAGGAAAGCUUGUCCUAUCAAUCAACCCCUACAGACCAGAAUGUGGCUUGAGGCUUUUUUUUUUUUUUUGCAACCUUUGUGUUCGUAUGGAGUGCUGAGGAGUUUACUGCCAUCUACUGACAAUAAAAUAUUGGAUUUC